GACGAACGCUGGCGGCGUGCUUAACACAUGCGAGUCGAGCGAUGAAGCACCUUCGGGUGUGGAUUAGCGGCGAACGGGUGAGGAACACGUGAGGAAUCUGCCUUUCACUUCGGGAUAACUCCGGGAAACCGGGGCUAAUACCGGAUAUUUUCAACUGGCGGCAUCGCCGGUUGAAGAAAGUUUUUCGGUGAAAGAUGACCUCGCGGCCUAUCAGCUUGUUGGUGAGGUAAUGGCUCACCAAGGCGACGACGGGUAGCCGGCCUGAGAGGGCGACCGGGCACACUGGGACUGAGACACGGCCCAGAGUCCUACGGGAGGCAGCAGUGGGGAAUAUUGGGCAAUGGAGGAAACUCUGACCCAGCGACGCCGCGUGAGGGAUGAAGGCCUUCGGGUUGUAAACCUCUUUCAGCAGGGAAUAAGCGAAAGUGAAGGUACCUGCAGAAGAAGCACCGGCUAACUAUGUGCCAGCCGCCGCAGUAA
rnacentral:rRNA from 1 species